AACGAACGCUGGCGGCAGGCCUAACACAUGCAAGUCGAGCGGACAUCUUCGGAUGUUAGCGGCGGACGGGUGAGUAACGCGUGGGAACGUGCCCUUUGCUUCGGAAUAGCCUCGGGAAACUGGGAGUAAUACCGGAUGUACCCUUGGGGGAAAGAUUUAUCGGCAAAGGAUCGGCCCGCGUUGGAUUAGGUAGUUGGUGGGGUAAUGGCCUACCAAGCCGACGAUCCAUAGCUGGUUUGAGAGGAUGAUCAGCCACACUGGGACUGAGACACGGCCCAGACUCCUACGGGAGGCAGCAGUGGGGAAUCUUAGACAAUGGGGGAAACCCUGAUCUAGCCAUGCCGCGUGAGCGAUGAAGGCCUUAGGGUUGUAAAGCUCUUUCACCGGGGAAGAUAAUGACGGUACCCGGAGAAGAAGCCUCGGCUAACUCCGUG
rnacentral:rRNA from 1 species